UGAGUAACACGUAUCCAACCUGCCGUCUACUCUUGGACAGCCUUCUGAAAGGAAGAUUAAUCCAGGAUGGCAUCAUGAGUUCACAUGUCCGCAUGAUUAAAGGUAUUUUCCGGUAGACGAUGGGGAUGCGUUCCAUUAGAUAGUAGGCGGGGUAACGGCCCACCUAGUCUUCGAUGGAUAGGGGUUCUGAGAGGAAGGUCCCCCACAUUGGAACUGAGACACGGUCCAA
rnacentral:rRNA from 1 species